AACUUCAUCGCGGGAGAGACCGGCGCUCGCGCCGGCGCCGAAGGCGAAACCGCCCCGGAAACGCUCAGGCCCAAAGGACCGCGACGAAGUA
rnacentral:ncRNA from 2 species